rnacentral:lncRNA from 1 species
GGUCGAAUGAUGUGGCACUGCGCAGCAUACAGGGUCUAUAAAAUCCCUAUCUGCGCCUAGGGUUUGUAAGUUUCUGCUCAAUACCCAGUCAAAAUGAGAAUUAUCUUCUCUUCUCUAUAUCCUCCCUACUCUCCUCCCACCCCUCUUCAUGUCCAAGGAGUUGGACAUCCAUCUGGCAAAGGUCCAAGGCGUGGUGACGCCUGGAACAGGAAGGCUGCAGGACAUCUUCGACAGGCUGCUGCUCCAACUUCAGAAGGAGUUCUGAA